GGAGCCGCGGCCGUUCUAUCAGCCUACCGCCUCUGGCCAUCCCCGACCGUCCGCGCUUCCCCAGCGCUGUGGUCACCGGUGGCUUGACCCUCCCUGAUUUCACCGCGGAGGACCAGUGAGAGCCGAGUCGGGCCUUCCCCUUGGGGCCGUGCUCCCAUUGCGCCCCUCCCUCCGCAGGGCGCCCGCAUGGAACCCCGCGUGGGCCCAGGGCGGGAAGAAAAGGCUGUUCAGAUAAUCCCAUCAUCUACAAGAGGAUUUGGCCUUGGACAAGUACUUUUGCCUGUCUCAGGACUAGCCAGUUGGCCUACAUUUGUGGAAUACUAUAAAACACCAAGAAGAAAAAAUAGGAAGUUAAACCUGGCUUCAACAGAAUUCUGGUCAUGAUAGACCAGAUUCAAAUCACUUGGCUUCAGCUGAAUCAUCAUGGUGGGAAAGGCAGGAUUACCUGGAUCUAGAAGUUUCUUGUCCUCUGUUGACUGGAAAGCAUCAGGGGCCUUGGCUUCUAGCACAAAGGGGAGGAAAAGUUCCUGCCUUACCUUAGCUCAGCCUAAAAACAUUCUGCAUCUGCCAUUCACUGCCUGGACUGAGCUUUUGGAGUUAACAUUCUCAUCUGAUCUUACCUCCCACUUCUAGGAACAUAUCUCUUUGUUUCAUUAUGGCUUCUAGUACUCAUAGACUUCUGGACUCGAAUACUCAUUGUUUCUCUUUACCAUCUUUACUUAACCUUUUUUCCAUCAAGGUUCAUACUUUUCAAAUUCACAACCCAAGUUCUGUAUCACAAUGGCUAUUUACUGGCCUUAUCUCAUGUACCCUUUAUACUCACAUCUCUGCCAAGAAGCAUUCAGGCUUCAGUAACCAGAAUCCCCACGCUAGGACAAGUCCUAGUAGGCUUUCAUCUGAGUUAUGAAACCAUUAUGACACUGUAGCAUUUAUUUCCAUUUGGAAUAAACUGUUUUAGAAGAAUCUGUGAAGUUUAGAAUAUAGUAUCCUAUAAAGAUGUUUGGAAAAUAGGGACUGCUCCUAGAUCAGUCCACCAAAAAAGCCCCUAGCGUGGCCCAUAACAGAUUGUAUUGAUGACAUUUUUUCUAAAUAAAUCCUAUAAUGCUUAGAAA